rnacentral:misc_RNA from 1 species
CCAGGAAACAGUGUCUUCGGGCACUGUCUCUUCAAACCACUGUGUACCAAACAUUUUGUUGCCUUGGCGGGUUCGCCCAUUAUUUUAGGGGAGAUGAGUAUAUAGCUCAACUCCUCGAGAAUAGGGGAUUUAACGUCCCGCCGUAGGACAUUUUAAAGACUAUUUUGUUAGAAGACUGUCUAAUUAUACUUUUUGUGAAUACAAAAAUUA